rnacentral:lncRNA from 1 species
CGAUAAUUUAAUGUCUUCGAACUUGCUUGCACAUUUGAAAACCAUGUUUGUUGAAACUGAUCUUGGAGUGAUGUUCUGAUUGUAUUCUUUAGCCAAAUGUCACUAAUACAUGUUUGAGACAACCACACAAAAGAUAAUCCCGUUUCAUUAAAAAUAGAUUCAACAUGGUUUAACCAUCUAAAUUUUACAUCAUUUUCAUUUGACAGCUUAUACAGUAGUUUAAAAAUGGUCGCUGAUAAUUUAG